UUUGCGUUCUGCUGGCCAGCCCCUCGUCCAGGUGGAUGGCCCGGCAGCAAAGUUCUUAGCCCCUGCAGCGUGGCCUCCUAAUUUCACGCCAAGUUAAAAAUGCAGCCGAUCGCCCCCACACUUCCAACUUCAGAAACAGAACUUUUUGGCCCUGGGGUGUGCCAAGGAGAGUGAAGAAUGCCUAACUGCUGGCUCUUCCCCCUUAUCAAUUUAAAUAACCCGUCCUCCCCGGUGCUCUCGCCUGCCUCCAGGAUUCGGGCUUUGAAAGGGUGAGAAGGGGAGAGAGAGACGGACAGAGAGACAGAGAGAGAAAGAAAGAGAGAGAAGCGGUGCCAACCCCCUGCAACAAUAUAGCACCUUGGAAAUGGCGGGGUCAACGAAAACAGCUCGAGUAAGGACUGUGAUGGGAACUGGGCCCAGGUGAGAAGCAGAAGCAAGAUAAGUUAUCCACUAAAACAUGAGCAGGUCCAGGCCAAAGCAGCCCGACUGUGAAGCCCUGUGAAGAGGAGUAUUCCUGGGUUAACUCAGCGGACAGUUGUUAUGCACUGCGUUUUUCUUUCUCUCCUCUACCAAGUCCCCACUCUGAGCUCCACUCAAAUGUGUUUCUAACCAAACUGUCCAAGGUGCAUGGGGCUGGGGGAUGGGAAAUUGACGGAAGAAAGAAAGGUGGAGAGGUUUAAUUAUUUACAAAAUUCUAAGCUCCUUAGCUUUCCAUUAAAAUCUUGUUGAAAAAAUUUGAUUUCAGGCCAGCCCCAGUGGCCUGGUGGUUAAGUUCAGCAUGCUCCACUGUGGCGGCCCAGAUUCAGUUCCCACGUGCAGACCUACACCACUUGUCAGCCAUGCUGUGGCCGUGAGCCACAUCCAAAAUAGAGGAAGAUUGGCAGCAGAUGUUAGCUCAGGGCGACUCUGCCUCAGAAAAGCAAAUAAUAAUUUGAUUUCAAUGUGGUUCGUUAGGCUUUUAGCAUUUGUUUUAUGAUCUUUGACUAUAUCAAGAAUGAUUUUUUUAAAUAUAAGAAAUUUAAAUCUUUGAGAAAGCAGCAUAUUAUUUAAAUUUUAAGUAAUUACUAUUUAGCAGUAUAGAAAAUGAUACAAAAU